AUAUGGGUGGGUAGCAUACAUACUUACCAGCACCCAUGAAUAUAUCCCCAAAGAUCAUCUAGGUCUUUCACAAGGUUGUAAUGUAAGGCUUAGGCUAAGGGCUACGAAAGAAUGGGACAUACCAAAGUGCCUCUGUUUUGAAACCAGCAAACUCUCCUCUUCAAUUGACCUUAGUUGUUUGUUCUUGGCGUCCAAGACCCAUGUGCGAUAGUGAAGGAUUUGGAAAUUGCAUCUUGUUUAUUCUUUUUUUCUUUCUAUUUCUC
rnacentral:lncRNA from 1 species